rnacentral:misc_RNA from 1 species
UAGGUGAACCUGCGGAAGGGAUCAUUAUCGUACUACAGAGGUGCUCAGGUUGUCGCUGACCUUUUGGUCGGUGCACGCCCGAGUGCUCUCAAUCCAUUUCACCCUUUGUGCAUCACCGCGCGGGGUCUCUUCCUCUUGGCUUGCUUCGAGAGGGGGAAUCUCGCGUUUUUCAUACGAACACCCUUCUAGUUUAGAAUGUCAUUCAUUUGCGAUCAUACGCAAUCAAUACAACUUUCAACAACGGAUCUCUUGGCUCUCGCAUCGAUGAAGAACGCAGCGAAAUGCGAUACGUAAUGUGAAUUGCAGAAUUCAGUGAAUCAUCGAAUCUUUGAACGCACCUUGCGCCCCUUGGUAUUCCGAGGGGCACACCCGUUUGAGUGUCGUGAAAUUCUCAAACCUUCUUGGUUUCUUGAUAAUCAAGAUGGCUUUGGACUUUGGAGGCAUUUGCUGGCUUUGCAAAAAGUCAGCUCCUCUUGAAUGCAUUAGUGGGGUCCCCUUUGCCGAUCCCCAGGCGUGAUAAGAUGUUUCUACGUCUUGGGAUUUGCUCUGUUCCUCGGGAACCCGCUUCUAACCGUCUCAUGGAAGACGUUGUUCGAGCUUGCUCGACCCACGA